GAAGCUUCGACCAAGGUUCGACUUGAGCGCCAGCGAGAGAGCGUUGCCGCAGGCAACGACCCGAAGGGCGAAGCGCGCAGCGCUGAGUAAUCCUUCCCCCACCACCA
rnacentral:sRNA from 1 species